GCGUUUUCAAGAUCUAUUGUUGAUAAUAUAUAAUAUCUUACAAGUUAUUUAAUUCUCUAAUGUAUGGGAAGCAGCGUAGCAUCGUCCUUGCUGUAUAAAAAGAAACCUACUUUGUAUGGAAAAGGAGAAAGAAAAGAGUAAGAUUGAACUAUGCUUUGCUGCAUGGUGGGUUUGAUGAAAGUGGAGUCAUGCUGAUUGGUGCUCAAGAUAAAUGUCUUAGGGGAAGACUCAUACCCAGUGGAAUUUUUUUUAGUGAAAUAUCGUGGCUCAUGGACUGUGGGAUUUGUCAUUUGUUUUCAAUAAAAUGAUAAAAAUCAUAA
rnacentral:lncRNA from 1 species